rnacentral:rRNA from 1 species
AUGGUAGGCACAAAAUUACUAGCUCUUGGUUGUGUUGUCCUGGUGAGCAUUGGAUUGGCCAAUGCUGCAAGGGUGGCUCGGUACUCGAGUGCCUCUGGAGUAGGGACGGGAGGAGGAGAGGGUGGGGGGUCUCAGGGUGGUGCUGGCUCCGGUUCUGGGAGUGGAACUGGGUCGGGUGUGAGCUCUAGUAGUGGUACACAUGCAAGCGGUGGAGGAGGUGGUGGAGGUGGCGGUGGUAGCGAAUAUGGUGGAGCGGGAUCUGGUAGCGGGUCCGGCUCAGGCUCCGGUUCUAGUCAAUAUAGUCAAGGAUCUUCCUAUCCUUAUGGUGGUGGCUAUGGUGGAUAUACUAGUGCUGGUGGUGCCGGUGGUGGCGGUGGUGGAGGGCAAGCUAGUGGUUAUCAUGGAUCUAGUGCAUAUGGGGCUGGUAGUGGCACUGGUUCUGGCUCAGCUACAGCUACUAACAAUUGGUAUGGACAAGGUAAUAAUGCAUAUGCUGGUGGAAACGGUGGUGGUAAUGGCGGUGGAACAAAUGGUGGGAGUGGUGGAGGCGGGGGUGCUGGAUCUGGAUAUGGCGAUGCCUACCCAUAG